UUUUUAAACAAAAAAAAUAUCCCCAGUUCUUAUGUUUGAGAAUAUAAAAUCAAUAUAAUUAAAUAUAACAAAAAAAACAAUGCCGAAGAUUAUCUCAACCGGGCCUAUUACACCCCACACCGAGUCAGCACCAUCCGAUGGCGGGGGAUCGAUGAUCAACCUUCAAUCUUAACCGGGAAAGCAAGUUUAGGUCAAGUCGCACCAAUGGAACAUGAACUUCUUUAAUCAGAAACUCAAACCCUAAGUGAAUUCUCUUAGCAUUCUAGUUUGAGAGAGAUGAAUUCUCUUUUUACUACACCCUAAAACCCUUAGUUACAAAUCUAUAAUUGAGAAAUGGGAGAGAAAAGACCCCAUAGCUUAAACUCUUAGCCCCUUUUUACAAUGUGGAAGAGAGAGAUCAAAGAUGAGAGAGUGGGGCGUACCCCCUUUGGGCUUUUAUGAGAGAGAGAGAAACUUUAGAAAGAUAAAGUGUAGAAAUUUUCGGUAGAGACAAUCGUUUUUUUAUAGGCUUAGAACAAGAUUAGGGUUUCUUAGGGUUUUUCUUGGCUUGCCUCUUCUUGUGAGAUUGAAUAUGAACCAUCGAUCUUGUGUGACAUGUAGGGUGAGAGAUUUGAGCCAUCAAUUCCAUAGAUGGGCCAUCAAUAUGGAAUGUGCUAGAACCUUUAUCCUAUUUUCUUAAACCAUUUUCCCAUCAGUAGAAAUUAAAUAAAAUAAUUUCAAAUAUAAUAUUGAGCAUACCAAAAUAAUGCACAAGCCUUCUCAUGCUUUUCAAAAAUUCAUUUAAAGCUUCCUCAAGCCAAUACCGUUCCAAAACACAUAGCAACUUAGCCUACAAGCCAAAAUCACUUAUCACAAAAAUAGAAAUGUUCUAAAUGGGUGAGGUAUGCCACCCAUGAGAGGACCUCAUGGGCUCCACCAUCUAGGCCAUGGUGGGCCCAUGUGCACAAUGGGCCCCUAUACAAGUUUAAAUUAAAACUCAAUAAAAUAAUUUUAAAAUUUAUUUGAAUAUUUAAAUCAAUGUAAAAUCAAUAUCUCUGAUUUUAUAAAUCCAAAUUUGAUAAAUAAACUAUCCAGAGAUCUAUAAAAAUUCAACUAAUAAUUCUAAAAUCAUAUAUAUCAUAAAACAAACAUAAAUAAAUUCAUUAGAUGGGAAAAAGAUCCAUAUGGUCUAGGAAUUAAUUCAAUCAAAUAAUGGGGCACUCCACCUUCAACUGUGGACUACGGACCACACUUGCUUUAUCAAACUGACCCAGUGUUUCCCAUGACUCAUUGUCCAUACAGGGGCUCAUUAGUGGGUUACUAAAACCUGAUCGAUAAGUCAAGGGGUCAUAAUUCCAGUCAGUGGAUUUCAGGUUCUCCCCUAGAGACUGGCCAAGGUCACCAAGUUUUGAUGCAACCACAACUACUAUGGUGCAUAGAGGUAUCUCUCGCACAUGCAUACGUUUCACUCUGAAAGAUGGAUUGCUCUCCUGAAACGGUCUAUCAAUAUGCAUGCCGUGUAAUAGUACAUAGAUGAGGCUUUGGCCCUGUCUUUGAAGGCCACCAUCACACACAAUUGUCACACAGUCCCUCGACUUACUUAUCCGGGCAUACUCCGACCUCAUCAAGGGGUUACCCAUUAGAACAUUUAUCAGUUUAUACUCUAUGCCCAGGUAACAUGAAUUUUUCUUAAAAGACUGGCUUAGACCGUCAAGUACAAUCUGGUAUCAGCAAACAUCAUUUACUUAAUAUGGUCCACGACGGACCAAAUAUCCACUGAAUUUAUGUUCCACUAUAUCAUUUUAUUUUACAAACACUUUAAUUACCACACUCAUCCAACAUACUGUAGUAUCUUUCAUAUAGCACUUCCAAUAAAAUAAGUUAAGAGACAAGCCAUGAUGAUGAAGGGAAUUAACAAUUGAUGCAAUUAUCCCUUCUACUCUCUACCAACAUUUGGUGUCGAGGGAGCAUUCCCUUAGGCAAAUGGCUCGUCCGAGUCCACAUGGGCUCAGAAAAGUAAUUCAGCCUAGGGGCGAGGUUCUAACUCGGUCAUUGGGCAAGGCUGAGUUACCCAGAGUUAUGUCUAGACCUUAGGGAGACAUAAAAACUUCCGAAAAAAUAACAAAAUCGUAAAAAAUAAUGAAUUGUCCUAUAAAUUAGUAUAUUAUUUGAAUGCUUUGGAAAAAGACUCGCGAGUACUUUUUGCCAUAAUAUCUCUUUUACAAUUUUUUUAGAUGUUGCCAACUAUAAUUUUUUUUUUCAAAUCUAUUUUUUAUAUUUUUUUAUGUUUAUUUGGACUUUUAAAGUUGCUUUUUGGUUUAUUUUACUUGUAUUAUCUUUCUUUCAUUUUUUUUUCGAACUUUUCUCCUAUGUUUUUCUUUAAAUUGGUCGAGUAAUUUGCCUUAGCCAAGGACGAGUCAAUUGGCUGAGGCAAGUUUUUAAAUAUAGAUAAGAAAUAUUAGGAUCCAUUUCACUAGAUAAUUAAUUCAAAUGAGUACUUGAAUGCUUAUAAACAUUCAAAAAAUGGAUCGGUGGCUUGGAUUGAGCAGACCAAAAAUCGAUCUAGAUCGGUGAAUUAGCUAUCCAGAUUGCCAUUUCACUGUGCAGAAAAACAGUGAAUCGGUGAAAAAAACAUGUGAAAAAAAACAAUGAAACGGCGAAAAACCGGUUCGGAUCACCAUUUUACUAUAGAGAAAUGUCAUUUUAGUUUGAAGAACUGUUGAUUCCCUUGACCUGACCGUUUUCUUAUAUAUAUGUAGAACCGGAUCGGGGUGACCAAUUUCUAGAUCGGACCUAGUGAUUCCGACCCAACAUUUUUUAAAUCACAUCCUACAACAUUAGAAGACCUUCUGUUGAGCUUUUCUACGCUUGUCACUCGGUUCAGUGGCUUACCUCCCAAUGUAUGUUUGUGUCCUAAAAAUAUUCUUAACUAAAGUUAUAUGCUCCUCUGGCAACAUGUUUCUUCAUAUUUAUUUAUGGAAUUUGUUGUAGCUCAAAACUCAGCUAGAAAAUACAGCCUUGUAUCUUGUAACAAAUUAUGUGUCUAUGUGUUAUAUAUUUACAAAUUUUACACUAUUUUGGGAACAUCAAUUUUAAUAAUAAAUAGAUUCCAGGCCAUAUGGUUCAGUUGGAUUUUAGAUUUUUAGGUGAGGCUUCAAGUAAACUCUAGUUAUUAUGUGACCCAUUCGAGAACUCCUAGGUCUUACAGAAAAAAUAAAGCUUCAUCUCAAAACUCACUCAAAAUAUCACAUCUAGUAUUGGAGAACUUUCAAAUUGAUCAUCUGACCAUUAUGGUUGUGAAAAGAAAUUGGAUUUCAAGCAUUGGAAAUAUUAUAUAUCAUAACACAUUAUCUAGGUCGUGCAUUUUCAAGUGUUCACGGAUACACAAGAUCUAUACCAUUUUGUGAGCUACAAAUUUCAUAACCACUAGUAGAAAUUAAUUUUUAGAACCAUCUGGUAGCCAAAGUAUUUUACUGACGAGGUUUUAAUGUGAGGUUUUACUCUUUUUUUCAUAAAUCUCAGCCCUUAUACAAAUUACACCAUAUUAUAUAUUAUGAGAAUAUAAGUAAUGAACCGAUUACUAGUAUUGAGACUUAUAAGUAAUAAACAGAUUACCAGGCUUGAGACUUUUCAUCAUCUUGAAACCUGGCUUUGCUCGACCCUUUUCAUUAUCUUGAAACCCUCUUGAAACCUGGCUUUGCUCGACCCUUUUCAUUAUCUUGAAACCCUUAGUAGUGAUAAAUUAGUGAGAUAUGAAUUUUAUUAUUUUCAUAUUAGUCUCCUCCAAUAUCUCAAUGAU
rnacentral:lncRNA from 1 species